AGAAAUUGCGUGACUCCGAGGGAGAGCACGCAUGUAUACAAACGUGUCUAUACACGCGCGUUGACAAGCGUGCUCUCUCUCGUUGUCAUCUAACCUUUGG
rnacentral:pre_miRNA from 1 species